GGGGCUGAUUCUGGAUUCGACGGGAUUUGCGAAGCCCUAGGAGCAUGCCGAGGGGCGGUUGGCCUCGUAAAAAGCCGCAAAAAAAUAGUCGCAAACGACGAAAACUACGCUUUAGCAGCUUAAUACCCUGCUUAGAGCCCUCUCUCCCUAGCCUCCGCUCUUAGGACGGGGAUCAAGAGAGGUCAAACCCAAAAGAGAUCGCGUGGAUG
rnacentral:tmRNA from 1 species